AAAUGCGAUAAGUAAUGUGAAUUGCAGAAUUCAGUGAAUCAUCGAAUCUUUGAACGCACAUUGCGCCCGCCAGUAUUCUGGCGGGCAUGCCUGUUCGAGCGUCAUUACAACCCUCAGGCCCCCGGGCCUGGCGUUGGGGAUCGGCGGAAGCCCCCUGCGGGCACAACGCCGUCCCCCAAAUACAGUGGCGGUCCUGCCGCAGCUUCCAUUGCGUAGUAGCUAACACCUCGCAACUGGAGAGCGGCGCGGCCACGCCGUAAAACACCCAACUUCUGAAUGUUGACCUCGAAUCAGGUAGGAAUACCCGCUGAACUUAAGC
rnacentral:misc_RNA from 1 species